CUACGGGUGGCUCCAGUGAGGAAUAUUGCACAAUGGGGGGAACCCUGAUGCAGCAACGCCGCGUGGAGGAUGACGCAUUUCGGUGUGUAAACUCCUUUUAUAUGUCAAGAAAAUGACGGUAGCAUAUGAAUAAGCACCGGCUAACUCCGUGCCAGCAGCCGCGGUAAUACGGAGGGUACAAGCGUUACUCGGAAUCACUGGGCGUAAAGGACGCGUAGGCGGGUUGGAAAGUCAGGUGUGAAAUCCUACAGCUUAACUGUAGAACUGCACUUGAAACUUCUAAUCUAGAGUAUGGGAGGGGGAGAUGGAAUUAGGGGUGUAGGGGUAAAAUCCGUAGAUAUCACUAGGAAUACCUAAAGCGAAGGCGAUCUCCUGGAACAUUACUGACGCUAAGGCGUGAAAGCGUGGGGAGCAAACAGGAUUAGAUACCCCGGUAGUC
rnacentral:rRNA from 1 species